GACGAACGCUGGCGGCGUGCUUAACACAUGCAAGUCGAACGGAAAGGCCCUGCUUUUGUGGGGUGCUCGAGUGGCGAACGGGUGAGUAACACGUGAGUAACCUGCCCUUGACUUUGGGAUAACUUCAGGAAACUGGGGCUAAUACCGGAUAGGAGCUCCUGCUGCAUGGUGGGGGCUGGAAAGUGUCGGCGGUUGGGGAUGGACUCGCGGCUGAUCAGCUUGUUGGUGGGGUGUUGGCUUACCAAGGCUUUGACGGGUAGCCGGCCUGAGAGGGUGACCGGCCAGAUUGGGACAGAGAUACGGCCAAGACGCAUUAGGGAGGCAGGAGUGGGGAAUAUUGCACAGAGGGCGGAAGCGUGAUGCAGCAACGCCGCGUGCGGGAUGACGGCCUUCGGGUUGGAAACCGCUUUCGCCUGUGACGAAGCGUGAGUGACGGUAAUGGGUGAAGAAGAACCGGCUAACUACGU
rnacentral:rRNA from 1 species